GGCGGAUCCAGAGGGGGGCGUAGAGGGCGUACGCCCCCCUUUGCUCGGACUUUUUUUUUUUUUUGUAAAAUGAUUAAUCAGACUAGACUUCGUGAACUUUGCCAUUUCCCGUGUACUACUAUUUAAUUUUUAUGCGACAAUUCUUGACUUAUAAAGAUAUUUUUCGCUGGAAUUUACUGAUUAUCAAAGUUAUGUGAUUCGCUAUGGUGGAGUUAACCUGCAGUGCGUCGAAUAAAACGUCUCUCAGUCAUUUUGAAAUUCAAAUUACAGUAACACAUUGCGUAGGCUGAGGAUGACAAUCAUGACACCUUCAAAGCAUCACAGGAUUUAGCAACAACAUAAUGACUUCUAUUUCACUAUUC
rnacentral:lncRNA from 1 species